AGAGUUUGAUCAUGGCUCAGAAUGAACGCUGGCGGCACGCUUAACACAUGCAAGUCGAACGAGAUCUUCGGAUCUAGUGGCAGACGGGUGAGUAACGCGUGGGAACCUGCCCAGUAGUAGAGAAUAACUUGGGGAAACUUAAGCUAAUACUUUAUACGUCCUUCGGGAGAAAGCUUUAUGCGCUAUUGGAUGGGCCCGCGUUAGAUUAGUUUGUUGGUGAGGUAAAGGCUCACCAAGACUACGAUCUAUAGCUGGUCUGAGAGGAUGAUCAGCCUCACUGGGACUGAGACACGGCCCAGACUCCUACGGGAGGCAGCAGUGGGGAAUAUUGGACAAUGGGGGCAACCCUGAUCCAGCGAUGCCGCGUGAGUGAUGAAGGCCUUAGGGUUGUAAAACUCUUUCGUCAGGGAAGAUAAUGACGGUACCUGAAGAAGAAGAUCCGGCUAACUCCGUGCCAGCCGCCGCGGUAAUUC
rnacentral:rRNA from 1 species